GACGAACGCUGGCGGCGUGCCUAAUACAUGCAAGUAGAACGCUGAAGAGAGGAGCUUGCUCUUCUUGGAUGAGUUGCGAACGGGUGAGUAACGCGUAGGUAACCUGCCUUGUAGCGGGGGAUAACUAUUGGAAACGAUAGCUAAUACCGCAUAACAAUGGAUGACACAUUUCAUUUAUUUGAAAGUGGCCAUUUCUCCACUACAACAUGGACCUGCGUUGUAUUAGCUAGUAGGUGAGGUAAUGGCUCACCUAGGCGACGAUACAUAGCCGACCUGAGAGGGUGAUCGGCCACACUGGGACUGAGACACGGCCCAGACUCCUACGGGAGGCAGCAGUAGGGAAUCGUCGGGAAUGGGGGCAACCCUGACCGAGCAACGCCGCGUGAGUGAAGAAGGUUUUCGGAUCGUAAAGCUCUGUUGUAAGUCAAGAACGGGUGUGAGAGUGGAAAGUUCACACUGUGACGGUAGCUUACCAGAAAGGGACGGCUAACUACGUG
rnacentral:rRNA from 1 species